rnacentral:tRNA from 1 species
UCUUGGUAAAGCUUAUUAGCAAGCAUCUCUUUUACACAGAGCAGAAAUUUGUGCAAUUCAAAUUACCCAGAA